UACGUAGGGUGCAAGCGUUGUCCGGAAUUAUUGGGCGUAAAGAGCUCGUAGGCGGUCUGUCACGUCGGCUGUGAAAACCCGAGGCUCAACCUCGGGCCUGCAGUCGAUACGGGCAAACUAGAGUACUGCAGGGGAGACUGGAAUUCCUGGUGUAGCGGUGAAAUGCGCAGAUAUCAGGAGGAAUACCGGUGGCGAAGGCGGCAUCCUGGACCGGCAUUGACGCUGAACAGCGAAAGCGAGGGGAGCAAACGGG
rnacentral:rRNA from 1 species